rnacentral:rRNA from 1 species
GAUGAACGCUGGCGGCGUGCCUAAUACAUGCAAGUCGAGCGAACAGAUGAGGAGCUUGCUCCUCUGACGUUAGCGGCGGACGGGUGAGUAACACGUGGAUAACCUACCUAUAAGACUGGGAUAACUUCGGGAAACCGGAGCUAAUACCGGAUAAUAUAUUGAACCGCAUGGUUCAAUAGUGAAAGACGGUUUUGCUGUCACUUAUAGAUGGAUCCGCGCCGCAUUAGCUAGUUGGUAAGGUAACGGCUUACCAAGGCAACGAUGCGUAGCCGACCUGAGAGGGUGAUCGGCCACACGGGAACUGGGACACGGUCCAGACUCCUACGGGAGGCAGCAGUAGGGAAUCUUCCGCAAUGGGCGAAAGCCUGACGGAGCAACGCCGCGUGAGUGAUGAAGGUCUUCGGAUCGUAAAACUCUGUUAUUAGGGAAGAACAAAUGUGUAAGUAACUAUGCACGUCUUGACGGUACCUAAUCAGAAAGCCACGGCUAACUACGUG